rnacentral:rRNA from 1 species
AUUGAACGCUGGCGGCAUGCCUUACACAUGCAAGUCGAACGGCAGCACGGGGGCAACCCUGGUGGCGAGUGGCGAACGGGCGAGUAAUACAUCGGAACGUGUCCUGUAGUGGUGGAUAGCCCGGCGAAAGCCGGAUUAAUACCGCAUACGCUCUACGGAGGAAAGGGGGGGAUCUUAGGACCUCCCGCUACAGGGGCGGCCGAUGGCAGAUUAGCUAGUUGGUGGGGUAAAGGCCUACCAAGGCGACGAUCUGUAGCUGGUCUGAGAGGACGACCAGCCACACUGGGACUGAGACACGGCCCAGACUCCUACGGGAGGCAGCAGUGGGGAAUUUUGGACAAUGGGGGCAAGCCUGAUCCAGCAAUGCCGCGUGUGUGAAGAAGGCCUUCGGGUUGUAAAGCACUUUUGUCCGGAAAGAAAACGACGUGGUUAAUACCCGUGGCGGAUGACGGUACCGGAAGAAUAAGCACCGGCUAACUACGUG